CACUCUGGACUUUGAAUCCGACCUUUUUUUGCAUCUCGAAAAGAGGUUUUAUAUGCGCGGGAGGAACGCCUUCUGCCUUCUUUGGCUCUAGCCGGCCGACGCGGUGCUAAGUGUUGCUGGCUGCAAGCUGUAAUGGGAUCGGUUGGAAUAAUUUUGAAACAGAUGCGCCGCGAUCCAUUUCUUCUGGUUCUGGUGAGAUCCUUCAACUUCCGUCAGAAUUUGGGUACAGCACCAGACUCACUGAUCGGGAUCCCUUCUGCUUGGUAUUUCUCGGCCUUUUGUCUCUUGAAUUCAUCAUCACCGACUGCUGCUUCUAGUUUACAUGGAAAAUCUGUCCUUGAAGAGCCAUCGGCGGCGCCUGUUUUCUUCCCUGCAGAUGGGGCUCCUCAUGGUGGCCGUUCUAAUUGUUUCCGUACUUCCCCCAUGAAUUUCUCGAUCAGGACAUUUUCUUGCUUCUUUUCUUCACAGAGUCUCGACAUUUCAAGUGAUGCGGAUGCGGCAGGCAAGCAUUUGGCCUCCAUUCCUGAGAAGGUGUAUGACACCAUCAUGUCCAGCUCCGGUGCUGAUCAGCGUCUGGAGAGCACUCUUGAUUCACUCAGCAUACAACCGACCACCGAGCUGGUGAGUGAUGUUAUCCGAAGGCUUCGUUACGAGGAAAAAUUGGCUUUCAGGUUUUUCACGUGGGCGGGCCAUCAAGAAGGGUACACCCACGAGCCUCCCGUGUACAACAAUAUGAUCGACAUAUUGUCGAGUACGAGAUACAAGGCGCGGCAGUUCGGGGUGGUUUGCGAUAUUCUGGAUUACAUGAAGAGAAGGAACAAAAACACUGUGCCCAUUGAUGCUCUCCUAGCAAUCUUGAGAACAUACACCGACAAGCAUCUGACCCAUCUCCGAAAAUUCGCGAAGAAGAAAAGAAUACGGCAAAAGACCCCUCCAGAAGUAGAUGCAUUUAACUUGCUGCUGGAUUCUCUCUGCAAGUGUAGCUUGGUCAUGGAGGCAGAUCUUAUGUUCCACCGGGUGAAGAAUAAGGUUAUCCCGAAUGCGGAGACUUACAAUAUUUUGUUUUUUGGGUGGUGCAGAGUGAGAGACCCUAGAAAGGCAAUGAAGGUGCUCGAGGAAAUGAUGCAGAUGGGUCACACUCCAGAGAAUUUCACAUACAAUGCUGCAAUUGAUUCCUUCUGCAGUGCAGGGAUGGUUUCAGAAGCCAGAGAGCUUUUUGAGUUCAUGAGAACUAAGGGCUCCACCAUUUCUUCACCAACUGCCAGGACAUAUAGUAUCAUGAUUGUGGCCCUGGCAAAGUCAGAUCUGAUGAAUGAGUGCUUUAGACUGCUAGCUGAUAUGAGAAGCAGCGGUUGCCUUCCUGAUGUGUCGACAUAUAAAGACAUGAUCGAAGGGAUGUGUUUGGCUGGGAAGGUCGAUGCUGCCUAUAAGAUUCUGGAAGAGAUGAGCCAGACAGGUUUUCCACCUGAUAUCCUUACAUAUAACUGCUUUCUCAAGGUGCUUUGCAAGCUUAGGAAGGCUGAAGAAGCUCUAGUGCUUUGUGAAAGAAUGAUAGAAUCAGGUUGUGAGCCUAGUGUCCAUACAUAUAACAUGUUGCUUAGAAUGUUUUUUGAGAUGUGCGAAGCGGAUAGGGCUCUUGAUAUGUGGCAUGAGAUGGAUCGAAGAGGAUGCGCACGUGUUGUGGAUACUUAUGGUAUUAUGAUUGAUGGGUUGUUCAAUUGCGGGAGGACAGAUGAUGCAUGUUCGCUUCUGGAGGAGGUAAUAAACCACAGGAUGAAAUUGCCAUAUCAGAAAUUUGAUGCCAUUCUGUUGUGGCUAUCAGCAAUAGGAAAUCUUCAUGCCAUCCAUCGUCUAUCAGAGCACAUGAGGAGGUUCUACAAUGUUGCGAUGGCCAGACGUUUUGCCAUAAGCCAGAAGAAGAAGAGCAUGAGCUUGAAGAGAAGAUAGACUUUCAGAUUUCCAGUACAAUCACCAAAGGUUAUAUACGGAAGUCAAGUCGAAGCUAGCUUCAGUUUGGUACUCAUCAGCUCUCACCAAUUUGUUUGUUAAGUAGUGGGCACUGCUUACCAAUGGCUAACAAUGUCCUGAUGCAAAAGCUUCUCUGCAAGAUUUGUGCCCAGGAUUUCCAGGUUUGGUUGUGUGGAGACUUAGGAGGUCUCUUGCAGCUUCUUGUCCAACCAAUGGUGAUGUGUCUUGAGAUGGAGUGACAGGCUUUGACAAACCCUGGCAAAGACUGACAGCUUUGAUGCAUGCUUGUAAGGUUGAUGAAAAUGGGUUCAUUAUCCUAGAAAAGCCUGAUAUACUUGGGAGAUCUGUGCUGGAGUAUUGUUUGUUAAUUGCUUUUGAUUUGGCUAGUUCUCAUAUUCUGGAAUCAGUUUUCCUUGGCAACUGCACAGGAUGAUGUCUGAUUCACCACUUUGGCGGUUGCUGCUGCAGUUAAGGAUUCUUUAUCUACCAGAGUUCAUUUAUGGAUAUUAUGUUGGAUACAAGUUAGAGGCUUCUUGCUUUGAAGGAAAGUUUAUGAUGUUACAACUGUUGAAGCGGUAUAUAAUGGCCUGUGUAAUUGAUUCUCUUGCUCAUGGUGGCUGCUUUUUUUCUACUCCUUUGUUGGAAUUAUUCUACUGUACAUAUGUGGUCUCUGUUGCUAGAUUUUAGGGGGGUCAGUAAAGAUUCUACUACUUUUUAUCAGCUCUACAUCACUUCUUUUCUUUUCUUCGGCUACAUUGUAACAGGUUCUUCUCUUACCAAAAAAAACAGGUUCUUCGACAUCUGUUAAGAAUGUAAUGGUGCUAUGUGUGCUUACACUUCAUCUUAUUGCUCCAAUAUGGUAUUACUUUGUAUGGGCUUGAUGGAGUCAGAUUCUAAGGCUUUCCUGCAAAGGACUGUUGUACCCAGGCCUGUUUUACCAGUACUUUGGAGUGGUUCCUUCCUGUAUUUUUGCUCAUCCGGUGUACUGUAAAUUUAAUGAUCUUUACCAUGGUUUUGGUGUCUUA